rnacentral:rRNA from 1 species
AUUGAACGCUGGCGGCAUGCCUUACACAUGCAAGUCGAACGGUAACAGGUCCUCGGAUGCUGACGAGUGGCGAACGGGUGAGUAAUGUAUCGGAACGUGCCCAGUCGUGGGGGAUAACGCAGCGAAAGCUGUGCUAAUACCGCAUACGAUCGAAGGAUGAAAGCGGGGGACCUGCAAGGGCCUCGCGCGAUUGGAGCGGCUGAUAUCAGAUUAGGUAGUUGGUGAGGUAAAGGCUCACCAAGCCUGCGAUCUGUAGCUGGUCUGAGAGGACGACCAGCCACACUGGAACUGAGACACGGUCCAGACUCCUACGGGAGGCAGCAGUGGGGAAUUUUGGACAAUGGGCGCAAGCCUGAUCCAGCAAUGCCGCGUGCAGGAUGAAGGCCUUCGGGUUGUAAACUGCUUUUGUACGGAACGAAAAGGUUCUCUCUAAUACAGGGGGCUCAUGACGGUACCGUAAGAAUAAGCACCGGCUAACUACGUGCCAGCCGCCGCGGUAACAC